rnacentral:lncRNA from 1 species
AUGGGUGAUGUUGAAAAAGGCAAGAAGAUUUUUGUUCAGAAGUGUGCCCAGUGCCACACUGUGGAAAAGGGAGGCAAGCAUAAGACUGGACCAAAUCUCCACGGUCUGUUCGGGUAGAAGACAGGCCAGGCUGCUGGAUUCUCUUACACAGAUGCCAACAAGAACAAAGGCAUCACCUGGGGAGAGGAUACCCUGAUGGAGUAUUUGGAGAAUCCCAAAAAGUACAUCCCUGGAACAAAAAUGAUCUUCGCUGGAAUUAAGAAGAAGGGAGAAAGGGCAGACCUAAUAGCUUAUCUUAAAAAGGCUACUAAUGAGUA